UCCGGGGGGGGCAAGCGUUGUUCGGAAUUACUGGGCGUAAAGGGCUUGUAGGUGGCCAACUAAGUCAGACGUGAAAUCCCUCGGCUUAACCGGGGAACUGCGUCUGAUACUGGAUGGCUAGAGUGUGGGAGAGGGAUGCGGAAUUCCAGGUGUAGCGGUGAAAUGCGUAGAUAUCUGGAGGAACACCGGUGGCGAAGGCGGCAUCCUGGACCACGACUGACACUGAAAAGCGAAAGCCAGGGGAGCAAACGGG
rnacentral:rRNA from 1 species